rnacentral:rRNA from 1 species
AGGAAUUGGCGGGGGAGCACCGCAACGGGAGGAGCGUGCGGUUUAAUUGGAUUCAACACCGGAAAACUCACCAAGGGCGACUGUUACAUGAAGGCCAGGCCGACGACCUUGCCGGAUUUUCAGAGAGGUGGUGCAUGGCCGUCGUCAGUUCGUACCGUAAGGCGUUCUCUUAAGUGAGAUAACGAACGAGACCCUCACCGAUAAUUGCUACUUCUUCCUCCGGGGAGGAGGCACAUUAUCGGGACCGCUGGCGCUAAGCCAGAGGAAGGAGAGGUCAACGGUAGGUCAGUAUGCCCCGAAUCUCUUGGGCUACACGCGCGCUACAAAGGGCGGGACAAUGGGCUCCGACGCCGAGAGGCGGAGGCAAUCCCGAAACCCGUCCGUAGUUCGGAUUGAGGGCUGUAACCCGCCCUCAUGAAGCUGGAUUCCGUAGUAAUCGCGAAUCAACAACUCGCGGUGAAUAUGCCCCUGCUCCUUGCACACACCGCCCGUCAAACCAUCCGAGUUGGGUUCCAGUGAGGUCGCCUCCGAUUGGGGCGUUCGAACUGGGAUUCAGCAAGGAAGGUUAAGUCGUAACAAGGUAGCCGU